CAUUUGCCUAAUAGCACCAUCUCCUGUUAUUGGUUGAUCCAGGAUCUUUGUCCUUAUUAAUUAUUCCUUAAUUUAUUAUUCCUAUUAGAACUAAUCAUAACCACAUAGGAAAAAAACACAUCCAGUGAAAUUUUUAAAACUUCAGACUACACGGAAAGAUGUAGAGCAGAGAACAAAUCCCCCCUUUCCCCAUCAAUGUUCUCCAUGAAAAACCACGGUUAGGAGUUGGAUGCCUUCUGAGCUCUUUUUUAAUAUGUAUAGCUUGGUUUCUC
rnacentral:lncRNA from 1 species